rnacentral:rRNA from 1 species
AACGAACGCUGGCGGCAUGCCUAACACAUGCAAGUCGAACGAGACCUUCGGGUCUAGUGGCGCACGGGUGCGUAACGCGUGGGAACCUGCCCUUAGGUUCGGAAUAACUCCCCGAAAGGGGUGCUAAUACCGGAUAAUGUCUUCGGACCAAAGAUUUAUCGCUUUUGGAUGGGCGCGCGUUGGAUUAGCUAGUUGGUAGGGUAAAAGCCUACCAAGGCGACGAUCCAUAGCUGGUCUGAGAGGAUGAUCAGCCACACUGGGACUGAGACACGGCCCAGACUCCUACGGGAGGCAGCAGUGGGGAAUAUUGGACAAUGGGGGAAAGCCUGAUCCAGCAAUGCCGCGUGAGUGAUGAAGGCCUUAGGAUUGUAAAGCUCUUUUACCCGGGAUGAUAAUGACAGUACCGGGAGAAUAAGCUCCGGCUAACUCCGUG